rnacentral:rRNA from 1 species
GACGAACGCUGGCGGCGUGCUUAACACAUGCAAGUCGAACGAAGUGGCGAACGGGUGAGUACUACGUGGUUAACCUGCCCUCCUUUUUGGGAUAAGCCUUGGAAACGGGGUCUAAUACCGAAUAAAGGGGGAUGGGCUCGCGGCCUAUCAGCUUGUUGGUGGGGUGAUGGCCUACCAAGGCGGUGAAGGGUAGGCGGUCUGAGAGGAAGAACGGCCACAUGGGGACUGCGACACGGCCCAGACUCCUACGGGAGGCAGCAGUGGGGAAUCCUCCGCAAUGGACGAAAGUCUGACGGGGGAACGCCGCGUGGGGGAUGAGGGCUUUCGGGUUGGAAACCUCUUUCGCUAUCUAACGGGUAGGUGGAGAAGAAGCGACGGCUAACUACGUGCCAGCCGCCGCGGUAAUAC